rnacentral:lncRNA from 1 species
UCUCACUCUCUGUCCAGGGGUUACCAGGUUCAGGUUGCUGGCCCCAUUUAACCCACUACCUCUGCUCCAAGGAAGUGGUCCAGGCCCAGCCAAUCAGUAUAUUUUACCCUCUGGAAAAGUAUGGAACUGUCCAGAAAUGGGCAUGUGGCCCAACUGGGGUCCAUGGGAUUCGGUUACAUUACAUUCAGGGACUGUUGUGGCACUGCUGAGAGAAAGAGGUAGGCCUGGAGCUGCUGAUCAUUACCUGGCCUCCAUGGGGACACCUGCUGGAGGACAGAGCCAGUCCAGAGGAACAGCAACUGAGAGAAGAAGAGAGUGAGACCAAGUCCUGAGGACAUGGUGUGAACCUGUGGAUGAGCAGCCAGUUGUGCUUACACCCUGGAGAUAACAGUUGUGUCAAUAACUGAGAGAAGAACCAAUGAUGUCUCAGAAUCAACCUAGGUGAGUGUCCCUUCCAACAAUGGGGAUUGUUCACCACUGGAUCCUGGGUGCAUAGCAGAGUGCCUGCCACAUAACAGACAUGAAUUAAUAAAUGGAAAUCACUAUAAGAGAUAAAUCUAAGUGUUGCAAGAUAAUAAGUUCCUGAAACAGGCAAAUUUUUUUUUUGUUUAUAUAUACAUUUCUGGGUCCCAGAGAUCACAAAGAACCAGGAAACAUCGUUCAGUGAAACCCACUCUGCAAAGAAUCACUUUUAAUGCCUGCCAAAGUCAUCCUAAUUGAGCCAAUGAAAGCAAGAUCUAAGACAAACUUCCAGGAAAUAGCGUCUGAAAUUCAGCAUCACCUUUUAAACUUGGGCGUUUGGUUUAAAUACGAGUAUAUAUUUUCUUUAUUAAAUUAAAAUGCACCCUGUGUGAUACAGGAAGAAUGAGGUGGUAGCCUUUGCUGAAGGAACAAGUAGAACUAAAGGAAGCUUAAAACAAUCUGCCUUUACCCUACCUGCUGUGUAAUCAGGUAUGUUGAAAGGUAAUGAAGCAGCUUAAUUAUUAUCUUUUAAAUAUCUGUUUAAAAUACUAUUAUUUCUUUGAAAUUGCUCUGAUUAAACAUUUCUUUGAUCUCAGUAAAUAAGGAGGUUUGUAAAAUUCCCUUUGGGGCAGGAGCCUACAAAUUCCUCUAUCAACUGGCAAAUGAUUGUGCGAAAGGAGCAGAGAGAAGAGUCUGUCUCAAUAUGAAGAGAUAAAAUUUCCAUAGUUAUCUAUUAGUGGAAAUGGACAUCUCUGAAAGGAGCUCUUUGUCCUCAGAGGAGUUCAAAUGGAAGACAUGUGUGCUCUGCAGGGAACACUGGAGAAAAGAAAGGUAAUACAUAACUGAUAAUUGAAUAGAUCUCCAAUUCUGCAAAUCUUGGGACAAGCCAAAGGAAAUUCUGAUAUCUUAAGUUCACAGUUUGAUCUAUGCACAUGCUAUGGUUUGGCUCUGUGUCCUCACCCAAAUCACAUGUCACAUUGUUAAUUCCCAUUGUUGGGGGAGGGACCUGAUGGGAGGUGAUUGGCUCAUGGGGGCAGAUUUCCCCCUGGCUGUUCUCCUGAUAGUGAGUGCUCAUGGGAUCUGGUUAAGAGUGUAGCACUUCCCCCUUAGCUCUCUCUCCUGCUCCACCUUAGUAAGACAUGUUUGCUUCCCCUUCAUUUUCUGCCAUGAUUGUAAGUUAACUGAGGCCUCUCAGCCAUGCUUCCUGUACAGUCUGUGGGCCUGUGAAUCAAUAAAACCUCGUUUCUUCCUAAAUUACCCGGUCUCAGGAAGUUCUUGAUAGCAGUGUGAAAACGGACUAACAUAGUACAAUCUUUGUGGUGGCAAAUGUGAAACAGGAGAAAUCUGACACUUCAGCAGGGAUAAGCCCCUUUCCAACACUUCAACAAUUGAUUGAUAUAUCCAACAGCAUAUCCACCUUGGCUUACCACCCCAGCACUGAGCAGAGCUCUUGGCAAAGUGAGCAUGCCGUAAAUACUUGUUAAAUGAUUGAAUAAAUUGAAUAAAUAAAUGAAUUCAUCUCUCAGAGGUUAUGUGCUCAUGUUUUUUUCUACAUUUAUUUUGCU